rnacentral:lncRNA from 1 species
GCCAGUGUUGAUUUGGUCGUUUGCUUGUUUAUUUGUGUUGGUAGUGGUUACGUCGGUCACAAAAUGCGAUAGUGGUGCGUGCGGGUGGUUAUGGUUGGACAGGCGGGACGGUUAGUAAGCGGCGAGCGGUUGUUCUGACGGUUAAUAUAAUUUUUGGACAUCAGCGUAAAUAAAGUUGUGAAAAAAUUGGCUUUUAAGCGAGUGAAAUGCAGAUAUUUGCGUCUACAGGUACAGGGAGUUCAACUAGCAUACCCUACUGCUUCUUAACAAUACGCAAAGUUCCCAAAAUAUAGAUUAGUAAGGACCACUACAAACCACUCUGAAUCAUUGAGAGGAGAGCUGGCGUGACAGUCAUCAGCAAAAGGCUUAAAGGUGUUCGUCAACAUUUGCACUUCCUUACCUGUUUAGACAUAAAAAACAUAUGGCAAAUAAAUGUGCGCCUAAAAAGCUGCUACGUUCAGUAUAAAAGCGGAAAUUUAUGCGUGUGUGAAUAUAUUUACGAAAUAAUACAUAUGCAUGCAUCUAGAACGAAG